UACGGAGGGUGCAAGCGUUGCUCGGAAUCACUGGGCGUAAAGGGCGUGUAGGCGGUCUCGUAUGUCUGACGUGAAAGCCCCGGGCUCAACCCGGGAAGUGCGUUGGAAACUGCGAGACUAGAGGUAGGUAGGGGAGAAUGGAAUUCCCGGUGUAGCGGUGAAAUGCGCAGAUAUCGGGAGGAACACCGGUGGCGAAGGCGGUUAGCUGGGCAGUUGCUGACACUGAGGCGCGACAGCGUGGGGAGCAAACAGG
rnacentral:rRNA from 1 species